rnacentral:rRNA from 1 species
GAUGAACGCUGGCGGCGUGCCUAAUACAUGCAAGUCGAGCGAACGGACGAUAAGCUUGCUUCUCUGAUGUUAGCGCCGGACGGGUUAGUAACACGUUGAUCACCUACCUAUUCUACUGUGAUUCCUUCGGGAAACCGCAGCUAAUACCUGAUAAUAUUUUUAACCGCCUGGUUCAAAAUUGAAGCACUGUCUUCCUGUCACUUAUCUAUGUAUCCGCGCUGCAUUAGCUAGUUGGUAAGGUAACGGCGUAACAAGGCAACAAUGCAUAGCCGACCUGAGCGGGUGAUAGGCCACACAGGCACAGAGACACGGUCAAGACGUCUACGGGAGGAAGCAGGAGGGAAGCAUACGAAAUUGGCGAAAGCGUGAAGGAGCAAAGCAGCAAGAGUGAGGAAGGGAUGAGGAUCGUAAAACUCUGUUAUUAGGGAAGAACAGAUGAGUAAGUAACUGGGCACAUCAUGACGGUACCUAAUCAGAAAGCCACGGCUAACUACGUG